GGUUAGGUUUCUGAGGCUGGGAAUGAGUGAACAGGGAAGGGCAGGAAGAGACAGGAAAUGCCCACAUGUUUUCAAGACAGUUAAUGUCUGGAGAGGAAUCUGAAUUAAUCUUAUAAUUAGAGGAUUAAUUAAGAGUAUCUUUUGUCACAUCCAAGUAGUCCUAAUGAAGUUUGUUGGUUUUUACAUUUGUCAGACUCAAUAAGCUAGAGAAGUUUCAGAAUUUUGUUCUUCAAGGGUUGAGCAAUCUUGAGAAGGAUAUUCAGCCCCUGGAACACCUUGAAAAGGACGCUCUGGAGUUCGAGGGGAAACAGUCUGCUGAUCUGAAAUUGUUCUGUGAUCUGCAAGUGCUGAGGUGUUCCUCUGCACCCUGACCGUCUGUCCUCUGAGGACCCAUUUCGUCUUCAGGCGGUAGGUGAACUCUGGCUUCUGCACCUGCACAGCCGCGCAGACCGUGUGAGCCACCCUCCCUCUGUGCAUCCCUCCAGCCCCUGGCUGCUUCCCAUGACAAGGAGA